UACGUAGGCAGCAAGCGUUGUUCGGAAUUACUGGGCGUAAAGAGUGUGUAGGCGGUGCUCUAAGUUAGGGGUGAAAUCUCCCGGCUUAACUGGGAGGGUGCGCCGGAAACUGGAGUGCUCGAGCGUGGGAGAGGAAAGCGGAAUUCCUGGUGUAGCGGUGAAAUGCGUAGAUAUCAGGAGGAACACCUGCGGUGUAGACGGCUUUCUGGACCAUUGCUGACGCUGAGACACGAAAGCGUGGGUAGCAAACAGG
rnacentral:rRNA from 1 species